rnacentral:tRNA from 1 species
AGCAUUUUAGUUUAUAAAAAAAUUUUAUUUGUGGAAUAAAAGAUAAUAAUUGCUAG